rnacentral:rRNA from 1 species
GAUGCAUGCUGGCGGCGUGCCUAAUACAUGCAAGUCGAGCGAACAGACAAGGAGCUUGCUCCUUUGACGUUAGCGGCGGACGGGUGAGUAACACGUGGGUAACCUACCUAUAAGACUGGGAUAACUUCGGGAAACCGGAGCUAAUACCGGAUAAUAUUUCGAACCGCAUGGUUCGAUAGUGAAAGAUGGUUUUGCUAUCACUUAUAGAUGGACCCGCGCCGUAUUAGCUAGUUGGUAAGGUAACGGCUUACCAAGGCGACGAUACGUAGCCGACCUGAGAGGGUGAUCGGCCACACUGGAACUGAGACACGGUCCAGACUCCUACGGGAGGCAGCAGUAGGGAAUCUUCCGCAAUGGGCGAAAGCCUGACGGAGCAACGCCGCGUGAGUGAUGAAGGUCUUCGGAUCGUAAAACUCUGUUAUUAGGGAAGAACAUACGUGUAAGUAACUAUGCACGUCUUGACGGUACCUAAUCAGAAAGCCACGGCUAACUACGUGCCAGCAGCCGCGGUAAUACGUAGGUGGCAAGCGUUAUCCGGAAUUAUUGGGCGUAAAGCGCGCGUAGGCGGUUUUUUAAGUCUGAUGUGAAAGCCCACGGCUCAACCGUGGAGGGUCAUUGGAAACUGGAAAACUUGAGUGCAGAAGAGGAAAGUGGAAUUCCAUGUGUAGCGGUGAAAUGCGCAGAGAUAUGGAGGAACACCAGUGGCGAAGGCGACUUUCUGGUCUGUAACUGACGCUGAUGUGCGAAAGCGUGGGGAUCAAACAGGAUUAGAUACCCUGGUAGUCCACGCCGUAAACGAUGAGUGCUAAGUGUUAGGGGGUUUCCGCCCCUUAGUGCUGCAGCUAACGCAUUAAGCACUCCGCCUGGGGAGUACGACCGCAAGGUUGAUACUCAAAGGAAUUGACGGGGACCCGCACAAGCGGUGGAGCAUGUGGUUUAAUUCGAAGCAACGCGAAGAACCUUACCAAAUCUUGACAUCCUUUGACAACUCUAGAGAUAGAGCUUUCCCCUUCGGGGGACAAAGUGACAGGUGGUGCAUGGUUGUCGUCAGCUCGUGUCGUGAGAUGUUGGGUUAAGUCCCGCAACGAGCGCAACCCUUAAGCUUAGUUGCCAUCAUUAAGUUGGGCACUCUAAGUUGACUGCCGGUGACAAACCGGAGGAAGGUGGGGAUGACGUCAAAUCAUCAUGCCCCUUAUGAUUUGGGCUACACACGUGCUACAAUGGACAAUACAAAGGGCAGCGAAACCGCGAGGUCAAGCAAAUCCCAUAAAGUUGUUCUCAGUUCGGAUUGUAGUCUGCAACUCGACUACAUGAAGCUGGAAUCGCUAGUAAUCGUAGAUCAGCAUGCUACGGUGAAUACGUUCCCGGGUCUU